rnacentral:rRNA from 1 species
GACGAACGCUGGCGGCGUGCUUAACACAUGCAAUUCGAACGGAAAGGCCCUGCUUUUGUGGGGUGCUCGAGUGGCGAACGGUUGAGUAACACGUGAGUAACCUGCCCUUGACUUUGGGAUAACUUCAGGAAACUGGGGCUAAUACCGGAUAGGAGCUCCUGCUGCAUGGUGGGGGUUGGAAAGUUUCGUCGGUUGGGGCUGGACUCGCGGCUUAGCAGCUUGUUGGUGGGGUAGUGGCUUACCAAGGCUUUGACGGGUAGCCGGCCUGAGAGGGUGACCGGCCACAUUGGGACUGAGAUACGGCACAGACUCAUAUGGGAGGCAGCAGUGGGGAAUAUUGCACAAUGGGCGGAAGCCUGAUGCAGCAACGCCGCGUGCGGGAUGAAGGCCUUCGGGUUGUAAACCGCUUUCGCCUGUGACGAAGAGUGAGUGACGGUAAUGGGUAAAGAAGAACCGGCUAACUACGUG